rnacentral:lncRNA from 1 species
CAGUGGCAUAUCUUACGGUAGUGCCCAAUUUUAUCUCCUAUAUACCACGGUCAGUGAGUGACGGAGCCAGGAUUUUUUUUUUGGGGGGGCCAAAAUUGAAAUUCCAUUCAAAGAUGACUAAUUCAUAUAUAUAUAUAUAUAUAUAUAUAUAUAUAUAUAUAUAUAUAUAUAUAUAUAUAUCAACUCUCAUAAUAUAAACUAAAAUUGAAAAAAUUUAGGGGGGCCAAUUUUAUUUUACACACAUAUUUACAUAUUAUGAAUUAAAAUUCUCAAAACUUAGGGGGGGCCAUGGCCCCCCUCUGCCCCCUUGGCUCCGUCAUUGACCACGGUAUACUAUUUGGGGCAUAUGUGUUUGUGUGUGUCUUGCUUUCAUUUUUGUUCUUGUAAUUUUUUCAUUUUUUAUUUCAAAGGUAGACUCAUUGUACAUGAGAUUCUAAUUCUUCUUUAAAAAUCCUACAUUAACUUUGGAAAUUGGGAUUUAAAUUGUUGCAAUGACAAAAUUAGACAUGACGUUGGAGGUAAUGGACCAAAAUGGUCAUUUUCAAUGGUGCGCGUACAGUACACGUCACUUAUUCCUAUUAGAAUUUUUUACUUGUCCAUUAGAGAUACUAGAUUUUUGUUUUUUGUUUUGGAUAAAGAUAGGUGACUAAAAUGGGUCAUUUUAAUAGUGCACAUGCCAUGCACAUGACUUAGUCCUAGUAUAAUUUUUUACUUUCCCAUUAGAGAUCCUAGAUUUUUUUUUUUAAAAAUAAGGGUAUAAUUAUAAAGGACUAAAUUGGUCAAAACUCUAAAGAUGAGGGACCAAAAUCGCUAUUUUCCUAAUACAUAAUACUCCUAUGAUAGGUGACAAUCGGGGAAAAAAGAAAAAAUAAAUAAAGGUUUCUCAGAUCAUUUUAAAAAGUCGAGUUUCCUUAAAGCCAAAGUGAAUGCCAUGCCUUAAUUACGUUCAUAAAUUUUCUUCAAAAUAGCUUUCACUUCUUUAAAUAAUAAUAAUAUUUUUAGUUAGAAAAAGUUUCUUGUAGUAUGUUGUUCACUAAAAUGGCAGUGAUUUUACAUUUUUCUUCGAUCACUUUAAGUUUGAUUAAUCUAAAUCUUGUGAUCAUAUAUUUUCUAUUUGUUAAUAUGAUAUAUUUUAACUAGUUCCAGUCAAAUUAACACGCUCAGUUUUAAUUGAAGCAUGUAUAUGGUCCUUAAGGAUCCAACUAUGUUGAAAUUCAACUAAUCAGAGAAACGAGACAGAAGAGAGGAUAAGAAUGAGAUGUAAAGAAAAAAUGACAACUUUGGAGUACUAGUUUUUAUCAUAGCAUUCUUCGAAGCCUUCUUCUCUCAGGAGCUUGGUACGGCUGGAUACAACAUCUUGAUUUGUUUUCAAACAAAUGGAGAUGGUUACAAGCAGAGGCGGAGCUAGGAAUUGCAAUUAGGGGGGACGAGUCUCUGUUAUUUGGAUCAAACCUAAAUAACUUUCAAACAUUAUUGUUUGGGUCCUUGAGAGGGGGCAAAAUGAAAUUUUUUAUCAAUAUUUUGGGGGGGAAACAAUAUAAUAAAAAAAAUUUUACUUAGAAAUUUUUUUUAUAACAAUUGGAGGGGGGCAAAGUGAAAUUUUUUAUCAAUAUUUGGGGGCAAAACAAUAUAAUAAAAAUUUUUUUACUUAGAAAUUUUUUUUUUAACAAUUGGAGGGGAGGCGGUUGCCCCCCUGGCCCCCCCCCCCCCCCCCCCCCGUUCCCUCCGCCCCUGGUUACAAGUGGAACUCAGUUUGAUCUUUUUUUUAGCAACAUUUUGUGCUGGUACAAGAGAAUGCAAACCGCAAUGUUUGACCAUUUUGGAGAAACGAAAAAAGCAAGAAAAUCGCUGAAUAAGACUAUGAAGAUAUUAAUGGUGGGUUUAAUUUAUGCCAUAAAAUUGUUUCGAGAAAGGUGGUCACAAUGGACUCCUAUUUUUCUCAAGUCUAAGAAGGUGUGUUGAAUGAUUUGUUCUACGGUGUCAGUCUAAUUUAGGGUACACCGAGGGAAGAUUCCAUUACUAUGACAGCUUCCAAAAAGUCAAUUUAAUUGGAUAAAAAAAAGGGACAAUAUCAAAAACCUCCCUUGAGGUUUCUGAAUAUUUCACUGACUUCCCUCCAAAUUUUAAAAAUAUACUAAUUUUCCUUAAGAUUAAUUAUCUUAUAACAUUUAGGUCCAAUCAAUAAUUAAAAAGCGACAUUAGGAGAGAGAAAAUAAUAUGAUUUCAUCAUUAUCCCCCCAUCUACUACAUUAUUUAAUUAAUUUAAUACCAAUCCACAUAUUAAAGAAAAAUCCUAAAAUUUGAUACUGAUCAUUGGUGAUCAAAUCAUGUGUAACAUCAAAUAGUAUAUCAUUUUAUAUCUUUCAUUUAAUACAAGAUUCAAAUAACUCUUUUUAAGUACAUAUCAAUUAUCAAACAUGAUCAACAACAAAUCAUCAAAAAAAUUUGUAACCAAAAUAUUACAUAGAACAAACUUUAACAUCAUAAAUAUUCUUGUUAACAUAUUAAGGUUAGUUGUUGAGAUUUUUAUGGAAUUAAAGUUCGCUCUUUGUAAUAUUUUAGUUACAUAAUUUUUUGAUUAUUUGUUGUUAGUCAUAUUUGACAGUGAGUUUGUAACUGAAAAUAGCAAUUUGAAUCUUACAUUAAGUGAAAUAUAUAUAAUGAUAUACUAUUUUUGAUGUCAUAUGUGAUUUAAUUCCUAAUGAUAAGCAGCAAAUUUUAGUAUUUUCUUUAAUGUUUGGACUAAUAUUACAUUUAUCAAACAAUUUAGUAGAUGAGGGGCAAUCAAUGGUGGAAUCAUAUUAUCUUCUCUCUGCUAAUAUCUCUUUUUAAUUGUUGGCUGAACCUAAAUGUUACAAGAUAAUAAAUCUCAAAGGAGGUUAGUAUAAUUUUUAAAAUUUGGAGGGAGGCCAGUGAAAUAGUCAGAAAUCUCAAGGGAGAUUUCUAAAAUUAUCCCAAAAUAAGAAACAGAAAUCUAAAAGAAUUGUCUUAUUAAUUUGCAAGUAUAUUCAUAAACUAUUAGUUUUAAAAUGAUAACAAAACUAUACAUUUGCUUUUUUAUUAGGAUUUUAAGAUACUAAAAUUCUACUUUCACUUUGAUCCUAUAACUUUCCUAAAAAUACAAUGUGCGAUCCGAAUAUUAAAAACAUUAAAGUUUGAUCCAGUGGUCAGCUAAAUGAUUUGGUGCUUAUGCAGUCAAACAUGCCAUCAUCUCAUCAUUAUUUCAUCACUCAUCACCAUCUUACAUUGAAAACUUAAAAGAUAGAAUAAAACAUUUUCAGGAUUGCUCUCUUGGCAUGAUCAAGAUUGUUGAUUAUUUUUUCUGUAAUACAAUCAUUCGUUGUAUUGCAUGCCUAAAUAAACAUGCGAUUAUGCUAGUAAUUAAAAAAAAAGGAGUAAAAUACAUCAACCAUUGUAUUUAAUUCAACUAAUGGCUUAAUCCAACUACCAAUAAGUUAGAGGAGAUUGUGUUUAAAUCAACUAACCAAAAGCUUAAAACCACGAAAUUGUAUAUAUUCUAGUGAUCACGAUUUAAAUCAUUUCCUAACCUUUUCUCCUUGUACAUGUGAAAAUUCGGGAAUUUCAUCCACAAAGGCAAAGUUAUAUAAAGAAUUUUUGCAAAAUAUAAAUUCAAAUUUUUACUUGUCUCCUCUUUUGAUAGAGACGUACUUGCGAGGAAAUCUUGAUUUAAUGGCUAAAGUUUAAUCUUUGGAAAAAUGCGCCUUGGGUUCAAAUCCCUCAUUUUCCUUCACUACUUCUUAAAAUCCAAUCCUUCCCUGCAACCAGAAAAAAAGAUACAUACUCAAUUGGGUUGAAGUAUGAAACUAUAAUUAGUUGAGCCCUAUUUUGCAAUUUCAAGAGAAGCGAAAGGGCGAGGAAAACUCGCAUCAACGCACGCGCCGCUUAGAGUUGUAGUUUCCUUGCGCUGCAUUCCACCAAUUAGAACAAACUUUUGACUUAUCCCUUUUAAAUUUGACCCACUAAGUACUUUGUCGGCACUAGACGACUGAACGAGUAAACACAAAGGCCCUGUUUGUUUGAUGAGAAAAGCAGACAUGGAGAAAGUAAAGUGAAGUGCGGUAAGGAAAUGGAAAUUAAUUUUCUCAGUUGUGUUUGAUUAACAUGAAAAUGAUGCAAGAAAAUAUAAAUUCUUGUGUUUUUUUUAGCCGAAAAGUCACAAAAAAUUGGCUAGUAUGUCGAUUAAUAGAAAAUAUUCAACAUUGAACUUGUUCAUUUCUGGUAUUUAAUAUAUGUAAAAUAACAUGCAAUAAAUAUAACAUUUUGCAUAUUGGAAGAGUUGUUUACCUCAAAAUUAAUCAUAUUCUUUAACCAUAAGUUUACAUAUGUAUGUAUGUAUGUAUGUAUAUAUGUGUGUGGGUGUGUGCCUGUAUAUAUAUAUAUAUAUAUAUAUAUAUAUAUAUAUAUAUAUAAUGUGUAUAAGUUAUAUAGACCUAAAAGACUAGCAUAAAAUAUAAAAGAAAAAAAUGCUAAUGUAAUAUAAUUCAACAAAUUACUGAUUCAUUAAUUGUUAAAAUAAGGAUAAAAUGUCUAACUACAAGCCGGUUUUUUGAAUUGUAAAUUUUAAGAUAUUCUGAUUUAUGUAGAAGUUUAGAAUGGAGGAAAUAAUUUAGAAAAAAAAAUUAGUAAAAAAAUUCUGAUUAUGUAUGUAUGUAUGUAUGUAUGUAUGUGUGUGUGCCUAUAUAUAUAUAUAUAUAAUGUGUAUAAGUUGUUUCACAAAUAUAUAGACAUAAAAGACGAGAAUAAAAUAUAAAAGAAAAAAAUACUAAUGUCAUAAAAUUCAACAAAUUACUGAUUCAUUAAUUGUUAAAAUAAGGAUAAAAUGUCUAACUACAAGCCGAUUUUUUGAAUUGUAAAUUUUAAGAUAUUUUGAUUUAUGCAAAAGUUUAGAAUGGAGGAAAUAGUUUAGAAAAAAAGGAUUAGUAAAAGAAUUCUAAUUAGCUAAAACUAUCUUGUAACUCACUUUCCUAUCAAUUUUAGCAGGAAAAAUUUUACAAGAAAAUGAGCGCUUAUGGGAAUAUUUUAUAUAAUGAAUCCCAUAAGUUUCUUGAAAAUACGAACAUUCAAAACUUGCAGAAAAGUUCUUUUCCUUCCCUCUUUUUUGGCAAACAAACACCAUGCAAAGCACUUUGCAUUUUAUGUUAUUCUUUAUUCUCAUCUAAGAUAUUUUAUUAGCUGAGAUCAAUAGUUCGUAGUAUAUGCUUGGACAGCUUGGACUUGAAAUCAUGUAUUAGGGUUCAUAAUUAUCAAAUCUGUCAUUCCAACAACUCCAUCAAUCCACUAGCAUGGGAGUACAACAAUUGUGGGGAAUGUUGAAUGUUGACUCAUCUAAUCUAAAUCCACUUAUAUGGAAUAUCAAAAAAUGACCCACGUAAGCCCAUUUCAUCUUUUCUUUUCCCUUCCUUUUUUUUUUGGGUGGCACUUUUGCACAGGUUAAACAAAUAUACGAUCUACUUUUGUUUGAAUGAUUCUGGAAGCACUUUUAAAUCUGAAACCUAAAGAAAUCCCUCAGCACUCUUCAUACUUGGAAGUUUUCAUAUUUUUAUGAUAGUUUUAAUCAUUGAGUUGGUUGGUAUGAAUUUUCUACAUUAUAAUUAGCGUAUGCAAAAAGUUAUAGUGGGAAAGUAAAAGAAAAGAAAUUGCUUUAGACUACCCUAGUCAAGAGAUGUAGAUUAAGUAUGUCUACAAGUGUGUCUGGAUAGUAGAUUAUUUGGGAUAAUUUUUUUGAAAACAAUUGUAACAUGCGAUAUAUGUGAGAUAAAAAAAUGAUUAGAAAAUAUGUUGAUACUGCAAAUAAAUAAAUUUUGACAAAUAAAGAUAAUCACAUUCAGGUAUCAGCAAUGGUUCAUACCCUAGUUUUUUUUCCUCUUUUUUUUUUUUCAAAAAAAGAUACCGUUCCACUCUUCUCCACGUCCGUCUCACCUUCAACUGCCAUACUCAAGAUUCGAAACCGAAAUGUUACUCGACACCUUAAAAGAAUCUGUUAGAUGCGAUAUAACUAGGGUUUGAUAUGGUUUUGUGGAGGGACAUUGAAACACUAGUGUUAGUAAUUAAGUUAUGAAAUGAAUAGAGGAAAGAAAAGGAAAUGGCAAACCUCAGUUAGGGCAUUCUCCUGGGCUGCAUCACUUGCAUCCUCCUUUACUUUUCCAAAACAUGAAUCAUCUAUAAUUCCCACAGCAAUUACAGAACCGUUUAUAUAACUUAAAGUGUCUAUAUGAAAUGAAUAGAGGACAUCCUUUUUUGUCUCACACAUAUAUGCACUAUGUCCGUUGAAAACAGCCAAGAUACCAUCAAAAAAUGGUUCAGAAUUUAGGCAUAACCUUGUCAAUAAAGUUGCAGAGUCUUCCUAUUUACAUUGAAGAUCACUUAGAUGGUGACAUAAUUUUUAGCAACUUCAUUUAAAGUAUCUGAACCACGUCGUAUUUCUCAAACACUUAUAUUUCAUUAUCUAAAAUCUCACCCUAUAAAAUUAUAAUUUAUACAUUCAUGUAACUAUUUUUUCAUUUUCCAGAUUAGGGUGUUUGUAAUGUUACCUAUGUACUAAAUAAAGUGUACACCAUUCGCUUCUAGAUGCUAAUUCAAAAAAGGAUUUGUCAAACGAGUGCUUAUUCUUGUUAAGAGUGUUAAUUUUUUUACAACAGCAAAGUUAAUUCAAAAAAAAAAAUUUAAAUAUAUCUCCUGUUUGGCAAAUAAGUUUUUGGUCAAAUUUGUCUGUUAUAAGUUUUUUAACAACUUUAACUAAAGUAAUCUCAAAAUUUUUAAACAAUCUAUUUCAAAAUAUUUAAAAAUUUACACACUUCAAAAAUAUUUUCUACAAUUUUUACAAUAAAUUACAGUAAAUAAAUUUUAGACAAAAACUCAAAAAACUCAUUUGCCAAGCAGAGCCUAUUGUGCAGUAAACAUAAAUAAAUGUAUCUCCAUUGCGAAUUAGAUAUAAUUUAAGUAUGUUAAUAAGUGUUUUUUUUUACUUAAAAUAUUAACGAAUGUCUAGUAAUCACUCCGAACCAUAGAGAGCUACUUAACGCUGCUAAUGUAACCAGUGGAGAUUUUGACACUUAUGUCAAAUCGGUCGUCAUGGGAACAAAUGACUCAUUUGGAUUUUUGACUGGGCCAGCGCGGGGUGUGAACUGGCGACGGAUUGGACUAAAAUUUGAAACACUAGAUAAGGAUACGUAGCGGUGUAACGUGCAAAAACACGUGAUUUUGACUUUUGGUCAUUCUUGCUUUAACUCCAUUCACCAUAAGUCCGUGUUUAAAGUAGGCUUGGCUAUGAUGGGUUUCAAUCUUUUUCUUUCUCUUUUUUUUUGGGAUAAAACAAAGUCAAUAUUAUUAAUAAACUAAAUAAAAAUUAUCUAGUAUGAUUUGUUUGAUAAGAAAAUUGUAUUAAUUAUACAAAAAAUAUAUAGAAAAUAUCAUGAAUAUAUUUGAUUUGAAAAAUCAUUAGAUUCAAUAGAGUUAUAAAAUAUAAAAGAUUAUACUGUAAAUUACAAAUAAAAAAAUUAUAUUAUGAAUUACAAAUCAAUCUUUUUUUUCUUUUUUUUGUUCAAGAUAAAUUGAUGCGUUUCCACUCAAUUGAAUAAUAUAUGGAAUUAAUCUGACAUGUGACUGAAGCUUUAUCCAAAGCAUCUUUUGUAGUAUUUUGAGUUAUUCUACAAUUAAAUCAUAAAGUAUUCGAAGUGCUGCCAGAUGGGCACUGGCUAGGGCACUUUACCUGUACACACUUUACUAUUCAAGUAUAAAGAUUAACAUGCAUUGCUUUCUUUUCAGGAUUUUUGGAUAGAGUAUUAUUCCAAAUAAUUAUUUGAAAUAAUUACUAUAACAUUUUUUGUGAUGUGAUGUAUAUGAGAUAAAAAAGUGGUUGGAAAUAUAAAAAAAUACAUUGAAAAAUGUAUUUAUGAUGCAAGCGAAAUUUUUUUUUUUGAAAAAAUUUGCUAUCCCCGGUUGGAUUAGCCCUAGUUAUAUUUAGCAAUUACAUCACAUUGUGUUUUUUUUUUUGGGCUGGAGAGAAGGAAGGGGGGGGGGGGAUUUCAUAGCAUAACUCAAAAAGGGUUAAAGAUUUUAAGGUAUGCUUGACACAAAUGCAAGCUACAUGGAAGUAUGCACGGUGUGGUCCAUGGUUUGUAUUUCGAUUUUAAAUCAGAGCUUGUUUAGAGUUGCGAUAGCUUUCAAGAAGUAUUUUAAUUAAUACAAGUUUUUGUCAAAGUACUUAUUAAGUGCUUAAUCAUAUUGUUUGGGUGCAUAUUUGCAUAAUUUCUAGUUGAUAAUGUAUAAUUUUAAAAUUCUAAAGCAUAUUUAUCCAUUCAUUUAAUUUAAAAUUUAUAUAAAAUUAUUAAAGUUAAUUUUUUUUUUUUGGACGUAAGCUAAUCAAUUGAUAUAACUAAAGGAAAGCUAUCUAAAUUAGCCACCUCUUCGCAGUGAUCUACCAAGCUAGCUUUCACUAACUUACCAUCGCAUGAAAUAAGGCAUAGCAAGGCUAAGAUAGAAUGCACUUUCUUCAUACAUGGAUUAAGCACUAUGGUAAAGCUAUAUGUCUUUCUCAUUGUACUUCAUAAAUUUCUUUUAAUAAAGUUUAGGAUUGACAAUCCCUCCCCUACGUGAAAAAAACAAAAGAAAACAACAAAAGAAGGAAAUGAAAACUUUUAGAACCAAAACUUUUUGGAAGAGACACUUUUUUAAGUCAUAUAUGGCCUUCUUCUACGUCCCAAUAUGGACCAUGCUCAUGAUUCAUCGAUUAAGACUGUGGCUUUCACUUAUUUGCCCUCCAGCACGUAUUACUUUAACCAUGAAAACUGGAAAUAGCAUCGAAGAUAAAGGUAUAAGAACUGCCUUUUACGUUGAUGAUUAUCUCUUAAUUCAGAUAUGAGGAUUUAGGACAAGACGACACGAGAAAAAGCAAACAGAUUCGUCACACGAACAACUUCAAUGCUACCGAGGUCCAAGCGAGCAUAUCGUUUGGAUUGCUAUUUUUAGGAAUUUUUGUUAAAAAAUGAACUGGAAAAAGGUGAUCGAAAAAUGUAAAGCAAAAAGAUGAUUGGAAAAAUGAUAUUAGAAAAUGUGUUCACGGAAAACGUAAAAAUUUUCUGCAAAAAAUCACAAUCCAAACAGAGCAAUAUAUGUGAAAGUUGUUUUCGACAAGUAGUUAUAAUUACCUUUCACACCACGUUAACUGUAUAUAGUCUUAUUCACAUGAGGUCGUCUUGUAAUACUUUUGCAAUAUUAAGUGUUUGUUUACUUAUAGAUCAUCUGAUAACAAUUCAUAUUGAUUAUAAAUACGUCUAAGAAAUUUGAGAUUGCAUACCUUUGUACUCGGAAACACUUUGUCGAUAGGGUCAGAUCAGUCCGAACAGCCUAAAAACAUUAAAGCUGAGCCUUUAAUAUCAUUCGUAAGAAUGAACUUAAACCUCAAAAUGAGGCCCAAAUAAUUGUGAGCAAACUUGGGCUGAAAAGGCUUAGCCAGAUUAGAGCCCAGCUGAACCAAUUAAGUAUAUUUAACUAUAUAUAUAUAUUUUUUUAUUAUAAUGAUGUAUCCUUAUUAAUAAUUACAUCCAUUACAACGUGCAUAAUAUGUAAUUUAUAUAUAGUGGCAAAAUAAAAUAUUAUACGCAUAUUAUAUAUAAUUACGUGAGGUUGGGUCAAGCUCAAAUUAGGCCCAAAACUUUAAUAUCUUUGAGUCAACCAUGAACCUUACACUUCAAUCCCAAAACUCGAGCCCAUGCCCAAAAACUUGAAAGCCUACUGCAUCUUUUGAGCAGAGCUUGAACUUUUCAGAAACCCGAUUACGAAAACAAUUGCAAGAACUACCUCAAAUCAUUUGUUUAAGUCCAUUAAUAGUCAAAAACUCGUGUGAGAUAACACAUUUUCAUUUUAAUACUGUGGCAACUCAUUUUUUUUUUUUCAAUAAAUUUACUCAUCCUAAGGAUUUCUUUGUCUUCUGUUGAUGAAAUAAACAUAAAUAACAUAUAAUCUCUUCAAAUUAAAGUAUAUGUGAACUUAAUUUGAAAGUUUCAAAAAAAUUUCAUUUCUCGAAAAUUUUCAAAACCAACUCCCAGUAGAGGAGUUAGCCACCACAUUAAUAGUGGAGUGGGAGGUCAAGGUUCAAAUCACUUGUCUCCCAUCAAUGUGCCUCUAUACGAGGAAUGUUCUAAAUUCAUACCGAUGAGUGGUGCACCCGUCUGGUCUGAUGGUGGUUCAAUCUCCAUCAAGUUCCCUUGACUCGAUUGGGCCACUCUUUAGAGUCGAUUCUCAUAGAGUAGGUUCCCCCUCCCCCCGUAGGAGUAGGAGUAGAAGUAUGAUAGGUUAGACUAGAUAUACCGUUACGGGAAAAAAAAGAAGAAAAUUUUCAAGAUAUUUGCAGUAAGGCCACAAAAGCCUGUUACUCUGAGCCAGGCCUUGAUACAAAAUUUGAGCAAUUUUUCCAUUGGUGUCCAACACUUCAUGGGCUCCAAUUGAGGGUUCAAUCCCCAGCCACAGAUAACAGUCUUAAUCAAGGUCCAUAGUGCUGCGUCAAUUCUAUGCAAUCAAUUUCUUGCAUUGAUCACCGUACUAAUGAAAUUUGUCCUAGUCGCCAUCCUAACCAAACACCAACAAAUAACUAUUUACACAUAAAUUAUUAUUAUUUUUUUACUUUUGUAAACUAAUUCCAUUUUUAAAUAACUAUUUUGAUAGUGUAUAUGCUAUGGAGAACUGAAUUAAAAGCACAAUGUACAUAAGAAAGGAAUCACUUGAAAAGGUAGACUCCACAUAUGAAAACUUUAGCCACGUUAUUGCAAUAUUAAGUGAAUUAGCACAAAUAUAUGGCAUAAACUCAAUUCAUUCUUUAAAAUCUUAUGCUUAAACAUUUAAACUUCAACAAAGAAAGAUUUGAACUUCAGCCAAGAAAGAGGAAGGGUUAUAGUUACAGAAAUCAUACAAAUAUACCUGAGUAGUUUAUGCCAGCACAAGUUGAUGUCAAUUGAUAAAAACUGUCAUAUUUUAAAAAAAAGUCAUGUAUUUGAACACUAUUUUACCUUUUAUCAAAACCUAUGAUUUCAAGAACAAUGCCUUGAUAUAUGGUAGUUUAAUCGAAAUUGAAUCCGUGCAAAAUUUUUUUUUCGCCUACCAAAAAAGAAAGUUUUGAUUCAAGCCCAAGUGAAGGUCUAUUUAAUGCAAACUUUGAAGUCAGCCUCAAGGUUUCUGCAUGGAGUUAUGGACACCGACACAACACAGAUUGGGAAGAAUCUGAAUGUAAAAAUUUAUUCAUGCUAUUCUUGCCUUCUUGGGACUCGAGCCAAAAGUAAAGUAAUCCUUUCCAUCUUUGUAGUACUAAUUUAGAUGGCAAAAACAAAAUCACUUAAAUUGUUCAUUUGGAUGCCAACCAGUAAUUCUCAAGAAAUGCUUUUGAGUACAUCAUAAUAAAACUUUGGAUUGAUGUUUCCUUACUGAUCAUGUAAUACUGGUAAAUUUGAUGCAUAACUUACUUGAAUUUGAAAUAUUCUUGUUACUCGUAUGCUUGAAAAUAACCUAAAGAACUUAUAUUUGAUACGUUAAAAACCUUUAUCCCAAAUUAUAAAUGGGACUAACAUUAACACGUCCAAGGAUCCGUUUGGAAUUGCGGUAAAUUAUUUAAAAGUAUUUAUCUACUAGAACAUUUAAUAAAAGUAUUUAUCUACUAGAACAUGUAAUAAAAGUAUUUAUUAUUUGCUUAAGUACUUUUAAAUAUAUUGUUUGGAAAUAUAGUUUAAUAAAUACUUACUGUAUUGGGUAAUGUGUUAUUUGUAAAAUUUAAAAAGUGUUUAUCUCUUUAUUUGGUUCAUAAUAUAACAUAAAUGAUUAAAUUUGAUGUUUUAUUUUUUAAAUCACAAAAACUACUCUAAAAGUACUAAAUUUGAGCUUUUGCUAAACGUGCUUCUAACACCAAAUCUCAACUCUUAAAUUUAUGGGAUGAUAUUCAUCAAACACUUUGAAAGUAUUUUUAAUAUCUAAAAGUACUUUUUUUUAAUAAAAACAUUACAACUCCAAAUGGGGCUUAAAUCAAAUGAUGUUAAUUGUCAUUUCCCAUCUUGUACUUCAAAAUUUUCUCAAAGAAAAUAAAAUUUUGAUUCUAAACCAAAAAAAAAAAGGAGGAAGAAAACGAGAAAAGGCAAAAACUUCAAAUUAAACAAGAAUCCACCUACAACGUUUUUAACAGAUACAAAUAUAAAAUCGCUAAAAUCAAAGUAGUGAAUCAUUUUAGUUUAUUUCGAUGUCAAAUGUUUCGGUAUAAGAUUUUUCUUACACGAAUUGCAUGAAAAAAAAAAAAAACCAAAAACAAACCACAAAUCCAGGUCAUGAUUCAUCAGCAAACAUCCAUUAACCUUGUGAUUGGCCCAUUCCCACUAUAAAAGUCCUCAACCCCCAAACCCUUUCCUAUUCCCCUCCAUUUCCUCUCCUCCACAGCUCCACUCCCCAAAAACAGCCACUCUUUCACACACACUCAAGUCAUCCACCCAACAAAAAAUCCAACCAAAAAAAAAACCAAAAACAGAAGCGAAAAUGAGAGAAAUCCUUCACAUUCAGGGUGGCCAAUGCGGCAACCAGAUCGGAGCCAAGUUCUGGGAGGUCAUUUGCGACGAGCACGGCAUUGACCACACUGGAAAGUACUCCGGCGACUCAGAUCUUCAAUUGGAGCGCAUCAAUGUCUACUACAACGAAGCCAGCGGCGGAAGAUAUGUUCCCCGGGCUGUUCUCAUGGACCUUGAGCCCGGUACCAUGGAUUCCGUCAGGUCCGGCCUUAUGGUCAGAUCUUCGCGCCCGGAUAACUUUGUUUUUGGACAAUCCGGUGCUGGGAAUAAUUGGGCUAAAGGGCAUUAUACUGAGGGUGCUGAGUUGAUUGAUGCUGUUCUUGACGUUGUUAGGAAAGAAGCUGAGAAUUGUGAUUGUUUGCAAGGUCGAAUUUCGUUUUCCUCUUUCAAUUUUAUGGAACUUCGGUUUAAUAUUAAUUAGAUCUGGGUUUUGUUUUUCUUAUUGUUGGAAUGUUGUUUUUUGGGUAUAGAUCUGCAUUUUUGCUAUAUUCCAUUUGCGGAGAGUUAUGAAAAUUUGCUGGAUCUAGCUUUUGGGUUUUGUGAAAAUUAACGGAUUUAUGGUGUAUAUUUGAUUUUGCAUCGUUCUUCACCUGAGAAUUGUAGUGCACGCACGUGAUAUCCUAAUUUAAAGUCUGUGAAAAUGGCGCGCUUGGAUUCUUGAUUUUGGGCUAUUCCUUUUUCUCUUUUUCGUUGUACAAUAGGUACAAUAUGAUGAAAUGCCCUUUACAGUAAAUGGCCUAAAUUCGUGCUAUUUGUACUAAUUAUGCUUCCAAACGUCUCUAUCUCAUUGGCUUUUGGUUUCGUAACUGGAAUGCAUUUGGGUUUUGUAAUUUUGCCAUCUACGCCUCUGAAGGAAGCUUUUUCGAGUUGGUAGAUCUCACUUUUGUUGAGGAUGUAGGUAUAUACGAAUUUUUUAUAUUGAUGUUAUCAUUGCCAAUUUAAAAUCAGUGGUGAUUUCAUUUAGGUGACAUUUAAUAGCUUUUUUUUUCUAACUUGCUUACCUGUCAUGCUAAUGUGUGGAAUGGUUUUGUGGUGGUCUCACGAGGCAGUAUGUUGUUUAUUUGUUAACCUGAGGCUGAUGUAAUUGAGAUGAAAUUUUAGAUACUGGUGCUUAGAUUUUGGUUGGCUGUAUCUUGAUUGACGUAUUGCUUGCUGUUAAUGAUUAGUGCUGAUGAUUAUGUUGUUUAAUAGGAUUUCAAGUGUGUCAUUCAUUGGGUGGAGGUACUGGAUCUGGUAUGGGCACACUUCUCAUUUCAAAGAUCAGGGAGGAGUAUCCAGACCGCAUGAUGUUGACGUUUUCGGUCUUUCCUUCUCCUAAAGUAUCUGAUACUGUGGUCGAGCCAUACAAUGCUACACUGUCUGUCCACCAACUUGUUGAGAAUGCAGAUGAAUGCAUGGUUUUGGAUAACGAGGCUCUAUAUGACAUCUGUUUCCGUACUCUCAAGCUGGCUACUCCUACUUGUAAGUCCUCAUGCUGACUACUUAGGUUUGAUAUUUGACUUUAAUAUUAACUUUGUGGUAUGCAUUUUUAACCCAUAUUUAUGGUCUGGUGGCUAGGGGAUAGGGGUUAAUGCCCUUCGCUGAUCCCCUGACCAGUCAGGGUGGGAGGGAUUUGGGGUAAAAAGGGGGGGGGGGAGGGGCCAGAAAAAAGCCCAGGUUUAUGGUAAAACAGCUUGGGCUUGAAAUUCCUAAAGAUUUUAUGGUUUUUGGUUUUUCCCUUUUUUUUCAAUAAUUAAUGGGUAGAGGUUAAAUGUGGUAAUAAGUUUUACUGUAGUAUUGGUCACUUAUUAGCCACUCCAUGUGCUUGGUUGGUGGUGGUUGUUCUUUGGCGUUUUCUUUUCGGCCACAGUUUACAUUCUUAACGUGCCUCUCUUCAUUUGGUUGAUUAACUUCAGUUUUUCAAUGCAUACACAUGCUCUGUCUCCAUCUCCCUCUCUUUCCCUCUCUCUCACACACACACACAAAACAAAAACAUCAAGGACAUAGGUUUAACUGAUGUUCUAGAAAUAUGGGAUGUUUUGGUUGUUAGUUUGCUUCUUGUAUUUGCCUGAGACUAGUUUAUAUGAAAGCUUUUGACAUGGAUCAAAAUUUGAACCGGGAACACUUGCUAAAUUGUGCUUGUUUUUGGCUGUACUUCAGUUGGUGAUCUCAACCACCUCAUUUCUGCUACCAUGAGUGGUGUCACAUGUUGUCUUCGCUUCCCUGGACAGUUGAACUCUGACCUGCGUAAACUUGCCGUUAACCUUAUCCCAUUCCCACGACUCCAUUUCUUCAUGGUGGGCUUUGCACCUUUAACAUCCAGGGGUUCCCAGCAAUACCGUGCUCUCACUGUCCCUGAGCUGACACAGCAGAUGUGGGAUGCAAAAAACAUGAUGUGUGCUGCUGACCCACGUCAUGGUCGGUACUUAACUGCUUCAGCCAUGUUCCGUGGCAAGAUGAGUACCAAAGAGGUUGACGAACAGAUGAUCAAUGUCCAGAAUAAGAAUUCAUCUUACUUCGUUGAAUGGAUUCCCAACAAUGUCAAGUCCAGCGUAUGCGAUAUCCCACCCAAGGGUCUGAAAAUGGCAUCUACUUUCAUUGGCAAUUCAACUUCCAUCCAGGAAAUGUUCAGGCGUGUAAGUGAGCAAUUCACAGCUAUGUUUAGGCGCAAGGCUUUCUUGCACUGGUAUACUGGUGAAGGAAUGGAUGAAAUGGAGUUUACCGAGGCUGAGAGCAACAUGAAUGAUCUGGUAGCUGAAUACCAGCAAUACCAGGAUGCCACUGCUGAUGAUGAGGAAUAUGAAGAGGAGGAAGAAGAAGUAGGAGCAACAGCAUGAGGCAUCUUUCACAUUUCAUCAGUUUGCUGGAGGGUUAUGGUCUGUUUGGUUUCUUUAAGUGGGUGAUGGUGUUUGUCAUCAAGGGAUCAAUUAGAUUGAUGUACCAAGUAGUAUGGUGUAUGCUAUGAUUUGUGUUGUAUUUGAGUUGGGUUUAUUACUCUGGUAUUAAAUGUGAAUCAUGUGUAAUUUGAACUUGUAUAUUCGUUGUUUGUGUUAUAGCUUUUGGCUUUUAAUGAUAGUUUACCUGAGCUAGAAUGAAAACAGAAAAACACAAAGAUGGUUUGACAUCAGAAAUAUUUUGUUUUGUUUUUGACUGUAGCCGAUGUUAUCACGUGAUCGAUUGGAUGCAUGGUUUUACUAAAAUGGAAAUUUUUAACCUGGCCAACAAAAACAAAAGGAUGAUGGUUGCCUUCAAAAUGUCUUUGAAAAUGGGGCAAUGGAAAAGGCUCACAUUUGGGUAGACAAAGUUUUAAAAGAUUCAAUGGGUCAAAUUGAAACUCAUUGUUUUACCAAAUCAUGUGACACAAUUUAAAUUAUUGUAUCUUUGAAAAUUGAAUUUAUUUGGUGUGACACAAUUUAAAUUAUUGUAUUUUUUAAAAUUGAAUCGACUCAAGUUUUGACUAAUUGAAUUUAUUUGGUGUGACAUAAUUUGGAUCAUUGUAUUUUUGAAAAUUGAAUCUACUUAAGUUUUGGCUAACCGGAAGAUACUGGAGUAGUCUGUCACAAGUUGCAUUGGACAUUGGAUAAUAGCUGUUGCCUUCGGCCCUUCGAUAGUUAGUGUGUGUUGGUGAUAUGGUCCUCAUGACAGUUUUUUCUAUCUUCUUUUUGUAUUCCCACCCCUUGCUACAUUCUUUCACCCCCAACUGUUUAUUCGGCCAUAGGUUUGAAUUCUGCAACCCUUUUUGUGGAUCAUAAGGUGGUUACCAGCUAAUAGGAAUAACAAAGCAAAAAUUUUCAAAUAAGUAGAAAAUUUCAAAUGGCAAACUCUCCCCUAAUAACUGUACCAUUCUGGUGAUUAAAUUUUCUCAUGUUUGUUUUGAGGUGUGCUUGGAUGGCAAUUGUGCAGUUUUUUUAAUAUAUCAAACAUUUUUUAUUAUAUUUUUUUUUAUCAUACACACAAAUAUUCAUCAAAAGAGCGUUGUACUAUGAUUUUUCUAAAACUUUGAAAAACCACAUUUUGGUUCACUUUUGACUAAUAUGUCAAUUAUUCGAAAGAUUUCUUGCAACUUUAGUACUAAGGUUUAAAAUACGUCAGCUGUGUUUAGGGAUGGAAAUCGAAAUCGGUAAUUAGAACUUUGAAAUCGAAAUUUUUCGGAAUUUUGGUAUCAGAAUUUUCAACCGAUUUUGAUUUAGAAUUCACCAAUUCCGAAUUCAAAUUCGUUCCGAAUUCAAUUCGAAAUUCGGUAAAUUCCGAUUUCACCGAAUUCAUGAAUAUAAAAAUUAUUAUUAUUAUUAUAUAAAUAUUAUAUUACAUAUAUAUAAAAAUAUUAUAUAUAUGUGUGAAAAUGAAAUUGUUAUCGAAAUAGGAAUUCCGAUUUCACCGAAUUCAUGAAUAUAAAAAUUAUUAUUAUAAUAUAAAUGUUAUAUUAUAUAUAUAUAUAUGAAAAAACAGAUUUGAAAUCGAAAUAGAAAUUCUGAAUUCCGAUUUGAAAAAUCUCAUUACUGAAUUCGACCCGAAUUCGAAUCAGACAUUCGAUUUCCGUUCCGAAUUACGAAUUCCGGAAUUCGAAAUUCCGAAUUCAAUUUGAAUCGAUCGGUAAAUCGGAAUUUUCGAUUUUGCACACCCUACCUGUGUUCCAAAACUCAUUAACUCAACUUAGAUGAUAGGAAUAUUGCCAGACUACGGUGAAGUCCCAAGUUCAUCUUUUAAAUCCUCUCUUUUCCCCUUUUCGGAUUGACGUCUCCCUUUGAACUAAAAGAAGUAUAUCACCUUUGUAUUAAAAAGUAAUAUAAAAUUACACUUAAAAAAUAUUUUGACAUAGACAAGUACCAGGCUAAGUUAAUCCGCUGAAAGCCCUUUUUGUUUUGUUUUAAUUUUUUUUUAAAAAUCAUUAACAGGCAGUUCAACAUAUUAUUAUUAGGACUAGGUUAGAACUUAAGUCACAAUUAAUUAGGUGAUGUGAGGAUCAAGGGAUGGAUCAACUAUAACUGCUUGUUGCAUUUCGUUCAUGUGGCCCGCAUAAUUGCGGAAUGAUUACUUUUAAUGGAAGGUUAAUUAAAGUUCCAAUCAUAGACCUAAUAAGUGCAAUUAGCUUAAUCCAGUUGUUUGGUCAAUGUGGUUGAUACAAUUAAGAACAAGUACCAUAUCAGCUUUUAAUUAAAUGUGUCAAGGACCAGUACUUUUUCAGAUUGAGAACAAUAACACCAUUUCACCACACAUCCCACAUCUGGCACCUAACUCCAUUAAAAAACGAUUAGAUGGUAGCUAAGAGGGGAAUAACAGCUUCGAUGUUUUUUAAUUAAUACAUUUCAUUUUCAGUCAUUUGUUUUUAUUUUUUUUAAUUAAUUGUCUUUGAAGCCAUUGCAUCGUUGCUUGCAUGUAUUUUAGUUGGCAUGUCAUGGGUAAUUUAAUUUGCACAUCAAUAACUUCGUCUAGAAGGGCUUAAUCUCAAGGGUAGUUUUAUAGUAUCUUCUGAAUAUCAUACUCAUGAGUAUCAUCAAUUCAUCGUUCGAUGUGUAAAAGGAGUCAUCAGUUCUCAGAUAAUUUUAGGAGUUUCAAUAUUGAAUGAUAUGGUAAGAGUUUAUUAAAUUAUAAUCACCGAGAUGGUAAAAAUUCCCAAUCUGAGGGUCUAAUCUCGGAAGGUCUAUUGAUACCUGGCCGACAAAACCAAAACUUUCAAGUGUAUUAAACAUAUUUUAAUCCAAGAUAGAACAAGACUGCAGUAGGUGAUCAAUUAGCCAACUAGCUAGACAUCCUCUCUUGGUUGUCCUGUCUUUAGCAGCAGGGAUGUGAGGCCAUUGAUCCAUCUCAUCCAUUGAUUCUUGAUUACAUCCCAAAAAUGUUGGUGGGCAUUUGAUAUUAAAAAGCAAGUCUUCCUUCUGGUUCAGACAUGAAUGAAAGACACUUCACACUGCUUAGCUACAAAUGAUUGUGACGAAAAUUAUUUCUUGUUUUCCAACCAACAAAUUUGGUCCCACUAUUUUGGAGAUAUUAUUGGUUAUUGUCUUUAAUUGAUGUAAUGUCCUAACAAACAUCUCGGUUGUAAAUUACCAUCUGAUUGAGAUUUGAGGAGCCCAACAGCGGCCGCUAUCCCUUGGAAGUCUUGGAAUCCUUAACUAAUCAAAUACCAAAUGACUUGCUUAGUUAAUACUUAAUGCAACACAUAUUACUGUCGGUCGAAAAUACCGAAAUAGGUCAAUAUUUAGCUACACGAGAUGCUAAUAUCAAGUGAAUAUUGAGAUCAAUUUCGAGACUCAUGAAUGUGAAAUGGAGUCUGUUUUGAAUAAUUUCAAUAAGUCACUGGCCUAAAAUAUUACUGUUUGAUUCAUUAACAAGUCAUUAGGGAAAAAUGUUCUGUUAAUUUGUUUGUCUAAAUGAUAUGUUAGAAGGAUCUUGCAGCUACUGCAUGAUUUGUCAUUGCAAAUUCAGGAAUUAUGUUCAAUAGCAUCUCAUCUGGUAAGUUUAACAGAUUGCAAAUUAUGAAAUUAUUGAUUAAAAUAUUGCUAAUCUUGUCAAAUCUUCAGUUUAUUGAUAAAUUAAGCAAUCAAGUUGUCAAGGGGUAGCGUAGCACAUCUAAGGUGUCAUUCUAAGUUGUUAAGUUUUGGGGUCAUUUGUGGUAGUUGAUUUUUGAUCAAUUUUUUCAUCAAUUGGAGGGAAAAUGAUCAGACUAAAAGAUUAUAAUAUAUGCAAGCUUUCGAUCAUAUAAAAGAAUGUAGAAUAGGGAUGAUGGUUGGGGUACUAACAAAUGAAGUAGCACUAUGGAUGAGAGAAUAACUAAUCAAAUACAACCAGAUAGGUGAGAUAAAAGUUUGGUAUAUCAAGAGAAAAUUUUAGCGCUAGCAGCUCAAAAGUAGAGAUGAUUUUUUUUUUUCAAAGCAGCAUAAUAGAAAAUUGCAUUAUACAAAGGCAUGGGAAAUUAAGCAGAAACCUUCAUGUCCCUCAAAAUAAUAGGGGAAAUAUGCCUAGAUGUCUUCAUGUGUGCAAACAUAAAAAAUGUCUUUGGCAAUGUAGGGGGAUGUCUCAAGAACAUAGUUAUAAAACACGGCCCGACUCGAUGGUCCAAUAGAUCAAUUUGAUGAAUUGGCCAAAAUGUCGGGUUGGAUCACUAAUUAGAUCGGUUAAGCAUUAAAUUCGUUUGACCAAUCAACGAUCUGAAGAUUCAAUCAAUGAAUCAGAAAAGAAUUACCGAUUGAACUGUCAACUUAAAGAUUUUAUUAUUUUUAUAAUUUAAAACAUAUUAUUAUAAUAUAUAAUAAAGCUAUUGUGUAACUCGCGAUUGAACCGGUGAGUCGGUCACCUCUUUUGACUAAGCUACGAGCUGAAUUUAAUAACUAUGCUCAAGAGGUUGAAGUAACAAUAUUUGAUUACUUUGAGACAUGAGAAAUUUCAAUCUAUUUAAACCUUUUUUUUGAAGAAAAAAAGUAGACAAUUUUAUUAAAGAGAUUACUAGAACCUGUCCAACACCAUUUGCGUUACAAAGAUUAUAGAGGGUAGUUCCAAAAAAUGUUGGCCAACUUGACAAAAUGUGCUAAAUUAUGUACGACUCUAUUUACUUCUCUUGGGAUCUAAAUUACAUCCACAUCGUGUUUGUCCAAGGCAAAACGCCUGCCUUCAAUUACAGAGCCUAUGCCCGAGAGGAUCUCCACUGACCUGAACCUUUCGUAAUUUACGAACCAAGAAAUUUAAACUCUUGCGGACACUACCAGUUUGUUCAAUUCACUGCAAAAAACUAAUUAUAUUGUCUUUCUUCUACAAUUUUUUUUUCUAAAUUUUAGGCUAAUAUAAGUUUAAUAAGAUGUUAAAAAGAAACAAAUCGUAACUCGUAGCAAUUUUAACUAGGAGGACUAUAAUGCUUUGAUUCAAGUCAGACUACAAAAGAAACCCAAUGUACACAUUAGAGAGCAUGGAGUACCACUUGUACCCCAUGUUGAGGCAUAAGGGCAAGCAUCUGUACAGGAGAGUGUACAUAACUUGGGGAGAGUGUGAAAGCAUAUCUCUGCAAAAUCAUUGAGAGUGCGAUCUUUACUUCAGUGAUUGCAAAAUUCGAGCCAACACAUGUUCGAGGUCCAAGGCUGAAAGGCAAAAAUGCUGCUGGAUUGUUGAUCUUGGUUGCUCCAGAAACCCCUUGUUCUGGAAAAGAUGGGCAUCAUCUCCCCAUAUCUGAGGGUCAUGGUGAACUGCUAAGAUUGCAAUAGAUAUGUUUAGAUCAGCAGGAAGCUUGUAGUUCCCUAAUUUUGCUCCUUCCUUUGUUGUUCUUCUUGCGUAGAUUGCUGGGGGAUAGAGUCUUAGAGUCUCAUUAAUGAUCAUGCUAAUCUGCACAAACAGAUGGAAAUCAGAAUCAUAAGAGAGGAAUAAAGUUCCUUCUGAUCAUUUGAAGGCGAACUCCAAGAAGUUCUUGUUUUCUUUCAUCUUCAAUCCACAUGUUAUAGUAUAAUAUUGAUGAUCAUAGCCGUAGGUAUGGAUUAAAAUAAAACGGUAUAAACAAUAGAUUGCCCUCCCUCUCCAUUAUCCUAAUCUAAUGUUGUAGAAAUAGCCUAAAAUUAAGAAAAAAAAAGAAAGAAAUUUUACAUACCGUUUUCAGUCUUGAAAUCCCUUCUGAAUUUGGGGGUCUUGUCCAAAUAAUUUGGUCACCUCUUCCCUGGCUUUCUCUUGCCAAUCAGUGUUGAUUGCUAGAAGAAGAAUUGUCCAUGAGAGCAAAAUUGAUGUUGUUCCAUGUCCAGCACCAUAAAAUGUCUUGCACUCAUCGAUUAUUUCUUCAAUAGAUAUGUUAUCAUUUUCACUACUACAAUCAUAAUGAGCUUUUAGAAGUAAUCCAAGAAAAUCUUCUCCAAAGCUUUGCUUAUCAUCCCCCUUUUUCCCUUUCUCCCUUUUCUUCACAAUUUCUACAAUGGAAUCUUGAAUUCCUUUCUCAAGUUUAUCCGAUUCUAUAUCAUCUCCGUCUUUGAAAAACUUCCUGAAAAAUUGAUCAGUAAAAAGAAUCAAGAAAAAGAAAAGAUAGUAGCUAUGUUAGGUACAUAAAUAGCUUGCUAAAUUGGAUUGCUGAAAUAAUAAGGACUUUUCAUCCCACACUAGAGUUUAUAAAGUGAAACAACAUCUAUUGGCCAGAGUAGUCCCCUAAUGCUUAAAGUCCGGAUUGGAUCACACAAAACCCCAACUGCUCUGAGUCCGGAUUCAAGGAAACAAAUGACUAUGGUAGUACUGCAAAAAGGUUCUAGCUUAAAGUAAUUACUAAAGGCAACUAACAAAACCAAUAUACACCUUCAACACACUUAGACAGGAGAAAUUUUAUCUUGAUGCAGACUAACUACAUGGUAAGCCUAGUAUUUGGUCUUUAACGAAUGUGAUAUUAUUGGCAAUAGCAAUUCACCGAAUUGUUCUUUAAUCUGACAUUAGUGGGUUCCACAAUAUUAUUUGAAGCUUCUUCAUUAGUUAAAAACCAACUAUUAAACUUCUCAAGUAGUUAGUCCUAUCGAGAUGAAAUUUCUUGAUUAGACACGUUGACCACAAAUAGCAAUAUAUCAAUUGGCAAUCAUGGGCUAUGAUCCCACGUAUGUAAUUCAAUAAGACCAAACAUAUAAUCACCUAAGGAAACUUUGACAUGUAAGUUGACAUUAUUAAAGUAUGGUUUAAUUAAUACAUUCUGACAUUAUCUCCUUUAAACCAAAUUCUUUAUUAAGAUUAUCACCUAAGAAUUCUUUAUCACCGAAUUCUUUUUUGAAGUUGUUGUAUUUAUUUUUUACUGAAUUAAUAGUUAUUGGAUCUUAAGGAAACAAAAAAGAACUAAACCAUGAUAUUUAUGAAGGAGAAAUAGCAAUAUAAUAAAAAGUGGGACAGAGAGUGGCACAGGGUAUAGGACAGAAGAUUCGUUGUGAAUCAAAUGCCAUCUCGAGCUACAAACUCUAUGGAAAACUCGGUCUUUGUAUAAAUCAUGUGCAACUCCAUCAUCUUGUUCCUUUGAUCUUUUUAGAUUUUUUUUUUUUCAAAAUAAAAUGCCAUAGCAAUUAUGGCUUCCUCAGGACUAAUCACAUCAUCAAAUAUAAAGAUAUUCUUGCUGGGGCUUCUGCCUCUAUUAACAACAAUUGAAGGAAAAGAUUUUCGUUUCUGUUAACCAACCAAAGUCAAAUGAUGUAAUCUGGCAAGCAUCAAUAAAAAGCUGUAGCAUGAAAUCAUCACCAUCAACUUUUAUUGGACUGCUGUCAAGGGUAAAAUUCCUUUUCAUGAUUCAAAAAUCAUAAAGCAGGGUCUAAUUCUUUCUCAUAAUUGAAGAUGGCAGGUUGAAAUGGUGUUCCACAGAUCAGUAUUUGAAAUGAACACAGAUACAUGUCAAAAUUGACUAUAAGCUAUGCAACAUACAAGUGGGCAUCAUGGAGAUGUUUACCUGAUGAAUGGAGGCUUAAGUUUGUAUGCAAUCUUGCCAGUUAAAAUCCCCAGCCUUUUCAUCAUGUUAAAUAUUUGUUCACCCUCCACAUAACUACUUCCAAAUGCAGUCCUAGAGAUGACCUCUGCAGUUAACAACAUGAACUCUUCACUGACAUCAAUUUCCUUGCCAUCAUAAUCUCUCCACCUUCUCAGCAUCAUCUCAACACUUUCAACCAUUGCUGGGGUCAUAUCCUAGAAAAGCCAAAAUAUUACUUAAUCGUAUAAUUAAUAUAAAGAUGUAGAUGAAUGCCACAACAACAAAACACUUGGGGUGUUAAAACUUUGUUGAUUUAGUCCUUUGCAAUUAGCAUUUUAAUGCACGAAUAAAUAUGCUUUUUCAAUUGCCAUGAGAAUUGUCUUCAUGUUUGACAAAAACGUGUAAUUUUGUUUUUCUAUAUAUUAGGAUUUUUUGCUGUGGGUAAUCAAUUUGAGAUACAUAAAUUUCCCAUCAAAGUGUAUGCAUUCUGAGGAUAUGCAAAAAGGGAAUGAAUUAAUUAGGAAGGGCUAAUUCUACUUUGCACCUUUAAAUUUAUACUCCAUUUCAUCUCGUAUUCUAAAUUUUAAUUUUAGACACUUCACACUGUAACAUCUCAAAUAUUUUCCGCUUAAGUCCAGUCGAUAAAAACAUUAAGAAUUGGAGAACCAGGCGUCACUGCAUUUUUUGCAUGACUGUUAGAUGAUGGUAAAUAUACUAUCACCUGUUAGAGUGACUAAGGUAUAAGAUAUGUGUAUGAUCCUCUAGUCAAUAAGUUUUUGAUAAAGUUGUUGUUGGUUGACUUAAGUCGCACAUAUAGGAGAGGACAGAGUGGAAAGUAUCCAAAACUGAAGUUCAAAUUGCAAAGUGAGAAUUGGUUACAAAUUUGGGGUGCAAAGUAGAAAGCUCCAAUGUGUAAUCAACCUGUCUUCUUUACUAGACUCUUGAUUUACAGUUUUUUUUUUUUUUUUUUGGGUACUACUCUUCAUUUACAGUUGAAAAGGUCCAAUGUGCAAUUGACAAAGAAAUAAUUAAGAAAAAUAUAAGUGAAUACCCCAAAACAUUAAACAAUCAAUACCAACCCACAUUAAACUUCUAGAUUUGAUUGUUCUACAUAAGUUCACAUGCCAGUAGAAGUAUAUAUAUAUAUUUUUUCACUUAAGGGUAUCCCAAUCUUUUGGCCAGACUAGUCCCCUAAAAGUGUAGAGUCUUGCUCUAAGGAUAUACAACGAAAUAGCACACAGGGUCGAUCAUGAGACCUGUUGGUAACUAUCAGACUAUGAAACUAGUUGGACUACUCCCGCCGCAACUACACGCCGGAGGCACAUAUCAGCAGAAGUAUGAGCAAUAUAAAAUCUGCUUGUUUACGUACUAGGCUGAUGACUUAAUAAAGACCAACUUUUAUAUAAAAAUAAAAGUACCAUGGCCAAAAAAAAAAAUAAAAAUAAAAAAUGACACAAAAGUCUCAUAGAACAACUUUUUUCUUAGACAAGAGGGCAAAAUAAUUGUUCGUUAUUUCUCACAAUACACAAAGUACUAUGAAAUUAUGAAUGCCGUAAUUUAUGUAUUAACAACCCAUUCCAAAUAAAUUAAUAAAUUAAAUGAAAAAGUGUAACUAGCUAAAGUAAGUAUGACUAAUUUGUGGAUCUUACCCUUAAACUCUCACCAUGAAAGGCUUGGUUGGCCAGUUUUCGCAAUUUGACCCAUUUUUCUCCUUCUGAUUGCCCAAGACCACCUCCUACAAUCUUUUUCAAAUAUUUACUCAAUUUUGCUAUGGUAAAAAAUUGUUCCUUAUCAUUCAGUAUUUCUUUUAUGAGAUCCAGAUCUGUGAUAACCAAUUCUGCUCCAGCACCACGCCUCCACCGGAGAAAAAUCUUCCUUCUCCAAAAAAAAUAUCUUGAUUAACUAGGUAAAAGAAGUUGUAACAUAAGCAAAAUGUUUUAGCUAGAUGGGAACAUCAAAACUUUAAACUUGAAAAUCCUAUAGUCGACUGUCCUUAACAUAUGUAACCAGCUACAAUGGCCUACACUCAAUUUGGAAAAGGCAUUUGAGGUGGCAAGUUCCGCUUUGAUUAUCUAACUAUCCACAAAUCAACAUCAAGCCCCCCAAUAACAAAAAAAAACACUAAUCAACAUCAAAUUUUACCUUGAAGAUCUGAUUACCCCCGGGGGGGGGGGAACAAAUAAUACAAGUGAAAAUGAUGUAGCUUACCAUAAAUGUUCAUCCAAGAGUAUAUGUGAGGCUGAAUUACUGGAAAUAUGUCAUGUGAUAAGUUGGUGGUGUUCUCUUUCUUCUUUAGCAAUUCUCUGGGGCUGCCAUGAAGGAUACUACGAGGAGGGCCUUUGAUGCCUUGUGAUUCCAGUCUAUGUUGAAUCCGCAUUGGUUUCCACCAUAUUAUGUGAAGAACUUUGAUCAAAGCAAAGAGUAUGUAAAUCAGAACAAACCCCACAAAGUAAAACUUCAUGGACUCCAUAGAGAAUCAGACCAAAGACUUAUGGCCUUGGCAUGAUCAAGACUGAGAAGCAGAACCAAGAGAAAAGACACUCAAAGAGGUCAAGACUGAAAUUGAGACACAAUUUGCUAGACGAAACUCAUUGAUGCUACAAAACAAGGAAGAUUAAAAAAAUCACACGACUAAUGAGAACAAGUUAAUUAUUAAGCAUAGACAACUGACAUCUCGACACGUUAAUCAAGAAUAUUAGUAAAAUAAUCCGAUUAAAAGAAUAAAGAAUUGUUUGCUUUUGUACCAUUUAUCUAAUUAUUUAUCUACUCCUUGAGCACGUGUCAGUGCAUACUCUAACAACAAAUGUGAAUAAAAUUUGUGACAUAAGUUUCGAAACUUUGGCUUUUGUUCUUUAAGCGUAAAUGGUGUUAGGUCUUGUUGAUUCGAUUGCUGCUACCAAAUAAGGUUACUAAGGAAUGAUUAAUAUUUCAUAGCGAUUGGAUGCAUCAAUAUUUUUGGUUUUCACAAAGCUCUAUUAUCAUUGAUUGUUCCUUAGUCUGAUGAAUAUUUCUAUUAAACAUCCAAAAAAUAACCAAAAGAAGUGCCAUGUUACCUCUCCAAUUGGUCAUGUUUUACCGAAAAACAAAAGAACAAAAAAUUAGAAAAGAGAGAACUCUUUUGGUCAUUGGCACUCUGGUUCUUCGACCUUGAUUUUACAUGUGCCAGCUACUUAGGGGUCCAAUCAUCUGUUCUUUCUUUACUUUUUUUUCUGGGUAAUUAUCUUGUUGUUUAUUAUAGAAGUUGUGUUGUAUAGUGCGAAAGGCCAAGAGCUAAGAAAUACUUCCGAGUCCGGCAAGUAAUGGAACAAUUCUAUUCACAAUAACAAGGAGAAAAAGAUUUAAUCUACACUUGAUAAGUAGCAAUCUGAAUAGGAGUUGGGUACUAUUUUGGACGCAUGAAUGCGUAACUACAUCUUCAUUGCCCCUAUUCAUAAUAAUUUCAAAUUUUGUUUGCAUUGAAAAAUUUGACGAAGGAUUUAAAAUUCAUUUAAAUCACUUAAUUGUUUGACUUGUUUAAGAGGCAUUUAAUUUUGUAAUUCAUCAAUUAUCUAAGUAUUACUUAAAUAUUAGAAUACUUAGUGAUUUAUGAGUUCAAAUUUCUCUUAUAUCUUCAAAUUCUUUAUUAAAUUUCUUAAUCCAAACGUAGCCUGAUUUUAUAUAUUAUGUUUUUCUUUGUAACUGUUCCUACCCUAAGGAGAAAAUAGGGAUAAUUUCACAAACCGCCCUGAGGUUUCUGACACUUGCACUGAGACCCCUCCAAGUUUUAAAAAUUUCACCUAGCUGCCUUGUUUUUCAAAUUUGGUAACAAUUCAGUCCAAUUUGGAUUAAAAUAUUACUAUCAUGAUAGAGAUGACAUUUAUAUUCCAUGAAUACCCUCUUCCUCCCUAUAUUAGUACAAGAUUACUUGUUAAUAAAAAGGUAGAGAUGAUUAUGGGUAUUUUAUUCUAUAUCAUUUAAUUUAUGUUAAAUACAUAAAUAUUUGCAAAUAAAAUUCAAAAGCCGUUACACAAAUAUUUUUACGAAAGGAAAACUAGCAUGUUUUGUAUUUAAUAUAAAUGAAGUAUUUGAAAGUAAAAAAAAAUGUCCAUAACAUCCCAGUUCUUUACGAGUUUCUUCCAUUAUAUGAAUAAAGUACUAACUAUUUAUGAGUAUUUUAUUUUGAAUCAUUUAAUUUAUAUUAAAUACAUAAAUGUUUAUAAGUGAAAUUCAAAAAGUGUUACACUAAUAUUAUUACGAAAGGGAAACUAGUAGGUUUUGUAUUUAACAUAAAUUAAAUACGUGAAAAUAAAAAAAAAAUUACCCACUUUUUACCAGUUCUUUACGGGUUUCUUCUAUUAUAUGAAUAAAAUAUUAGCUAUUUAUAGGCAUUUUACUCUGAAUCAUAUAAUUUAUGUUAAAUACAUAAAUGUUUGUAAGUAAAAUUUAAAAAGUGAUAUACUAAUAUUUUUACGAAAGGAAAACUAGUAGGUUUUGUAUUUAACAUAAAUUAAAUACGUAAAAGUAAAAAAAGAAAAGAAAUUGCCCAUAACAUAUCAGCUCUUUAUGGGUUUCCUCUAUUACACGAACAAAGUAAUAGUUAUUUAUGAGCAAAAAGAAAUAUCCCAUAAAGUACCAACUCUUUAUGGCCUUUGUCUAUUAUAUGAACCAAGUACCAAAUUUUUAUGGACAUUUUAUUCUGAAUCAUUUAAUUUAUGUUAAAUACAUAAAUAUUUGCAAAUAAAAUUCAAAAGCUGUUACACAAAUAUUUUUACGAAAGGAAAACUAGUAUGUUUUGUAUUUAAUAUAAAUGAAAUAUUUGGAAGUAGAAAAAAAAUUGUCCAUAACAUACCAGUUCUUUACGAGUUUCUUCCAUUAUAUGAAUAAAGUACUAGCUAUUUAUGAGUAUUUUACUUUGAAUCAUUUAAUUUAUAUUAAAUACAUAAAUGUUUAUAAGUGAAAUUCAAAAAGUGUUACACUAAUAUUAUUACGAAAGGGAAACUAAUAGGUUUUUAUUAACAAGCAAUCUUGUACUAAUAUAGGGAGGAAGAGGGUAUUCAUGAAAUAUAAAUGUCAUCUCUAUCAUGAUAGUAAUAUUUUAAUUCUAAUUGGACUGAAUUGUUACCAAAUUUGAAAAGCAAGGGAGCUAGGUGAAAAUUUUAAAACCUAGAGGGGUCUCAGUGCAAGUGUCAGAAACCUCAGGGGAGGUUUGUGAAAUUAUCCCGAGAAAAUAUUUACGAUAAGAGGCAAUAUAUGUUAUAAGGGCAAUAAAAUUGUAUCAGUUGCUAUGGAGAUGAAAAAUUUUAUGGUGCAAUAUGUUUGUGUACGUCUUAGACAGGUCAGUGAUUUUGGGUAAAGAUAUUGAUUUACUUAAAUUUUCUGAAAUGAUCAACUCGCUAAUGAAAUCAUUAACUACGCCUUAAAAAUGUACCUUGGUUUCCUUCACCUAAUUUCUCUUGUGAUGAUCUCAAUUAGACGAGAGUUACAAAAAGGGUAAAGCGAACUUGACAAGGGACCGGUGACGUGCAAACAAUAAGCAGAAGUAAAAACUUAGGAUGGUCUAAAAAAAUCUAUGGUGCAGGUAAUAAGAGGAACUAAACUGACUUAUAAUAAUAAAGUUUAGUGCCUAUAUCGACUUUGUUAAAAUAGCUGAAGGGCUAAACUGGCUCAUAAUAAAGUUUAGAAACUAUUUUGAAAUUAGCAAAAUAGUUUAGGGACUAAAUUGUUGUUUUACUCCUUUUGUCAUUAAACCUGGCGUGUGGCUUAGCCAGUUUUUGUUAGCAGCUUUCAAUUGCUAAUUAAUUGUGUUGAACUGGACAAGACAAUUGAUUCAUUUAAUCUGUUAAAGGGACAGGUGAAUAGGCAAAAAUAAGGUCAAUUAAUGAUGAAGUUGAUAUCCAAAAUUGAAAAAAGAAGAAAAUGAUUAUUAAAACCAAAUCAAAUGCAUAAGCCAGAUUAUCCAUUUUGACUAAGUAAAAGAAGUCUCUUGCAUAGUUGACAAGGUAAGAACAGUAGUCGAAAUAAAAUAAUUGUCACUACUCAGUCAAAUAUGCAGCCAAAACCUUCAAUUUUCGGACAAAUAUGGGCACCAUAUCGACCAAGAUCUGAUAAAUAUGGGUUUUGGACUCGUGUACUUAGAUUUAUUAUUGGUCAAUAACGUAAACAAGUAAACAAAAUAUUAAAGCGGCUGCAUUUUAGAAUGCUUUUAGUAGUAGAUCACCCUUUAAAUUUCAUAUUAGGAUCUUUCAACUUUAAAUAUUAUUUGGAAUAAUUACUAUAAUAUUUUUUUUACUGUGAUGUAUAUGAGAUAAAAAGGUGAUUGAGAACAUAAAAACGUAAGUUGAAAAAUAUGUUUAUAAUAUACCAAAAUAUUAUUAUUUGAAAUAACUUAACUAUCUAAAGUCUAAACAUUUUCCUUUAAAUAACAAUAAUGUCAUGCCUUGGUGCAAGAAUUGUAUUGUUAAAUAGAAAUAAAAUUUUUUAAAAUUGUGACAAUAUUAGGCUUUCUUAUUGCUUGUAAACCGAUCUGUAGUCUUUUUUUUUUUUUUUUUCCUCUCGGUUGUAAAACAAAACUUACCAAUUAAUUGUGGUGAGGAAAGAAUCUUACAAGGCACAGUAGCACUUUCACUUUCUCGGCAAGCACGUAAUUUGCUUCAACACCUCCACAUGCCGGCGCAUCUCCUUCUCUAAUUCAACACGUUUUGCUUCAACAUAUGAUGACCGGACUGAGACAACAGGAGCCGAGACGGCACGGGAAUGACUUUCUCAACCCCUUCAAUCUAUAAAACCAGCUGUGUUUGCAUUCAUUUUGCAACUCAAAAAUCUGCUCACCAAAGUGAUUAUUGACAGCUAAACUUCUUAUCUUUCAGCAUUCACCUUGAUAAAUCAGCAAUCAUCCAAUAAAAUGGCAUCAUCAUCAUCAUCUUUUCGUAUACUGUGCAUCUUGUUAUUAUGUUGUUCCAUUGCAUUCGGAUCUGACCCCAGCCCUCUUCAAGACUUGUGUGUUGCAGAUACAACAAGUCCAGGUAUGAUUAUUUCCUGAAAACUAGCUCUAAUUAGGUACUAGAAAAUAAUGUUAACUGUCACUUUUUUCCUUUUGUGUUUUUUUUUUGGUUACUUUUUUCUGUUUCAUGUUUUGUCUCUGAACCUUUUUAGUUUUGUCGUUUGCAGUUAUGGUGAAUGGCUUUGUUUGCAAGGAUCCAAAACUUGUACAAAAAAAUGAUUUCUUCUUUAGCGGGCUUCACUUGGUUGGCAACACAUCAAAUGCAGUUGGGUCAAGAGUGACUCCUGUAGCUGUUGCCCAAAUCCCAGGGCUUAACACUCUAGGAAUAUCUUUGGCUCGAGUGGACUAUGCACCUUGGGGCAUUAAUCCUCCACAUACUCAUCCUCGAGCCACUGAAAUCUUGACUGUCAUUGAAGGUACACUGCAGGUUGGUUUUGUCACAUCAAACCCUGAGAAUCGAUUGUUCAUGAAAGUGUUGCAGAAGGGGGAUGUGUUUGUAUUUCCAGAAGGUCUCAUCCAUUUUCAGCGCAACGUGGGAUAUGGUAAUGCUGUUGCCAUAGCUGCUCUCAGCAGCCAAAAUCCCGGUGUUAUCACAAUUGCAAAUGCUGUUUUUGGCUCUGAACCAGCUAUCCCUAGUGAUCUUCUUGCAAAGGCCUUCCAAGUUGAUGGGAAGAUAAUUGACCAGAUACAGUCCAAAUUCUAAACAAAAUUUCCCACCUUUAACACCCCAAAUACAAUUCUUUUGUUGUAUUAAUUCGUCUACUUCAUUAAGUUGUUUAUUGUAUUGAUUCUUUGGAUUCUUUGUAUUACUUGAAAAUUCUUUAUUUCAGAAAUAACUUUUUAAGUCUGAUCCUUGUCUCUAUGUUCUGGAUAUGUUGUGCAGUUUUGUCUAUUCAUUAGCAUUAAGACAAUUUGGUUUUCUUAUUAUUUCAUGGUGUCUGUUUGUGCUAAAUAUUAAAGCAAUGUUUUUAAACUCGAAAUAGCUAGUCAGUCGAUCAGCCUACCAAUUCUCAAUUCUACCUGUUCAUUGAUUCAAUGAUUCUCUCUCUUUCUCUUGCUCUUUUUUUUUUUUUUUUUUAAAUAAUCUUAGCAAACACUAAAUCAUCUAAUGCAAAAAGUAAGAAAUUUCUCAAAUAUCAUAAAAAAGCAAGGGCAAAAAAAAUAGAAAUCUCAUGUCUCAAAUAUUAAGGUAACAAAUUAUUACUCCAAAUCUAGCUUGAGAAGAAAAAGAACGGGAGCACUGUGAAAGGAAAGGAACUAACAUCAUCUUCAUCUUCUUCCCAUUUAGAUAAAUUUACUAAGACAAUCUUCAUUUUCUUCCUGUUUACAUAAUUUCAAAUCAGCAUCUCCAAUUAUAAACACAUUACCAUUUUUGUGUUUAAUAAACAUAAGAAAAAGAUUGUUUUAGAAAAAAGAAAGAAAGAAAGAAAUAGAUCUUAAUGAAAGAAAAGCAUAAAGAAGAGAAAAGGAAAAUAAAAUAAUUGUAAUUUGAAGAGAUCAACUGAUCAAGAAUGUAAAAGUGCCUUUCAUCAAACAACAUUAGAAACAAAGAAUGAAAGCUGAUUUAGGUAACAAAAAGGACAGGAAUGAAGAGGAUACCGUAACAGAAAACACGGCUUUUUUUGUUUUUUAAUGGUUGUUUACGUCUGUUAAUGUAAAGGAUGAGUAUAUUUUCAUCAUUAUAUAUAAGUUGUGACCCAUCAUGCCAUGGUCAACGAACGCCCCGAGUUGCAUUGAGUUCGUAGGUUAAUGUUUAGAAGUGGCGCAAAGGUGACCAGAGCCCAAAUUUGGACCAUUUUGUGAAAAGGGGGAAAAAAAACCUCAACCUUUCCAGUUCGAUGGUUUCUAAUCGGUUCCACAAGUUUGAUCGGUUAUUAUUCAUUUUGUCGAUUUAACAUAUAACUAGGAUGGCAUCAUGGACGGUUCUUGAUUGAGUGGAUUUUCAUGUACAUGAAACUAAGGGUCUGUUUGGUUGGAAGUAAAAUGUUUUCCUUGGGAAAAUAUUUUCCGUGGAAAUUAUUUUCCAUGAAAAUCAUUUCCCUUUCAUCAUUUUCAGGUGUUUGGUUAGUUUAUUGAAAAUAUUUUCUUACUUCAUUUUUCUGGUGUUUGUUUAACUUUUGAAAUAUUUUCACUUUUAUCUCUAUCUUUACUUUCUACACAUUAUAACUACAUACUUCUUCCCAUGCAAAAUAAGAAAAUUUAUCUCAUUGUUUAACUUUAAAAAAUCUUGGAGAAAUGUAUAUAUGAAUAAAAAAUAUCUCCUUAAGCAAUAAACAAAUUGCUGGCCAUUUAGUGUCAAAUAUCAAUCACAUGCAAUGCUUAUUGUGACAUAUAUCUUGCACUCUCACCGUUGAAAGUUUCUCUAGAAAAGAAUGUCCCUAUUAUACAUAAUUAAUUACUAGCAUAGGAUGAGCAGGAUGAGGUUUUUUUUUUAUUUUGAAUAUACUAGGGGAGGGUUGGGUUGGGUGGUAUGGGGGAGGGAGUGUAAGGAAGAGGUUUUGGGUUCGAGUCCUCUUGUUUACACUAAAAAAAAAAAAGAACAUACUACAAGAUGUUUUCAGUAAGUUUGAAACAUACUAGGCGGGAUGCAUGCAUUUCGGAAAACAACUUCAGUAAGUUUGGAAGGAAAGUUGUUUUCCAUAAGAUGAGUGAAAAUAUUUUACAUAGGAAAAUGUUUUCAGUAACUUUUGUGCAACCAAACACGGGAAAUUAGGAAAAUAUUUUUCUGGAAAACAUUUUCACCUAAAACAAACGGACCCUAAAUAAACUAGGACUUUAAACUUCACUAUGUGAGUAGGGGAGCCAAAUGCUAGCUAGUAAGAAUCGAUUCAUUGCGAUAAUGAGUUUUGGUUCAUGUUGAAAAUGAAAUCCCUAACAAGACACAAGUAAUAGCAAGAGAAUGAUAUUUGAAAAGAAAUCCCUAACAAGAUAGAAGUAAUAGCAAGAAAAAGAUUAUUUUACUUGUAUUUUUGACCAUUGGUGGAAUCUGUGUUCUAGAACUUUGUAUUUGAUAAAUUUUUCCUCUAAAAAGGUUUCCUUCCACAAGUUAGCUUCAUAAUUCUAGUUAGUUGAUAUAAUUGUUUUUUAUUGCUUUAAUUGAUUAUUAUCUAAAUAAUAGAGUAACUAAGGAUCUAGCAAUUAGAAUGUAAGUUCCUCGUGGGAUCGAUCUUUAUACACCCUAAACUAUAAUCAUGACCUGUAUAUUUAUAGAAAAUCAGUGUAUUUAAAAUUAAAUUUGACUGCAUAUUUGAACCCCGUCAUAAGAAAAGGAUAAGAUCUACAAACAAGAGAAAAGAAAAGAAAAAGUAAUUGUAAUUUCAAGAGAUCAAGAUCCCCUCCAUUUCCUCUCCUCCACAGCUCCACUCCCCAAAAACAGCCACUCUUUCACACACACUCAAGUCAUCCACCCAACAAAAAAUCCAACCCAAAAAAAAAAACACCAAAAACAGAAGCGAAAAUGAGAGAAAUCCUUCACAUUCAGGGUGGCCAAUGCGGCAACCAGAUCGGAGCCAAGUUCUGGGAGGUCAUUUGCGACGAGCACGGCAUUGACCACACUGGAAAGUACUCCGGCGACUCAGAUCUUCAAUUGGAGCGCAUCAAUGUCUACUACAACGAAGCCAGCGGCGGAAGAUAUGUUCCCCGGGCUGUUCUCAUGGACCUUGAGCCCGGUACCAUGGAUUCCGUCAGGUCCGGCCCUUAUGGUCAGAUCUUCCGCCCGGAUAACUUUGUUUUUGGACAAUCCGGUGCUGGGAAUAAUUGGGCUAAAGGGCAUUAUACUGAGGGUGCUGAGUUGAUUGAUGCUGUUCUUGACGUUGUUAGGAAAGAAGCUGAGAAUUGUGAUUGUUUGCAAGGUCGAAUUUCGUUUUCCUCUUUCAAUUUUAUGGAACUUCGGUUUAAUAUUAAUUAGAUCUGGGUUUUGUUUUUCUUUAUUGUUGGAAUGUUGUUUUUUGGGUAUAGAUCUGCAUUUUUUGCUAUAUUCCAUUUGCGGAGAGUUAUGAAAAUUUGCUGGAUCUAGCUUUUGGGUUUUGUGAAAAUUAACGGAUUUAUGGUGUAUAUUUGAUUUUGCAUCGUUCUUCACCUGAGAAUUGUAGUGCACGCACGUGAUAUCCUAAUUUAAAGUCUGUGAAAAUGGCGCGCUUGGAUUCUUGAUUUUGGGCUAUUCCUUUUUCUCUUUUUCGUUGUACAAUAGGUACAAUAUGGAAAUGCCCUUUACAGUAAAUGGCCUAAAUUCGUGCUAUUUGUACUAAUUAUGCUUCCAAACGUCUCUAUCUCAUUGGCUUUUGGUUUCGUAACUGGAAUGCAUUUGGGUUUUGUAAUUUUGCCAUCUACGCCUCUGAAGGAAGCUUUUUCGAGUUGGUAGAUCUCACUUUUGUUGAGGAUGUAGGUAUAUACGAAUUUUUUAUAUUGAUGUUAUCAUUGCCAAUUUAAAAUCAGUGGUGAUUUCAUUUAGGUGACAUUUAAUAGCUUUUUUUUUCUAACUUGCUUACCUGUCAUGCUAAUGUGUGGAAUGGUUUUGUGGUGGUCUCACGAGGCAGUAUGUUGUUUAUUUGUUAACCUGAGGCUGAUGUAAUUGAGAUGAAAUUUUAGAUACUGGUGCUUAGAUUUUGGUUGGCUGUAUCUUGAUUGACGUAUUGCUUGCUGUUAAUGAUUAGUGCUGAUGAUUAUGUUGUUUAAUAGGAUUUCAAGUGUGUCAUUCAUUGGGUGGAGGUACUGGAUCUGGUAUGGGCACACUUCUCAUUUCAAAGAUCAGGGAGGAGUAUCCAGACCGCAUGAUGUUGACGUUUUCGGUCUUUCCUUCUCCUAAAGUAUCUGAUACUGUGGUCGAGCCAUACAAUGCUACACUGUCUGUCCACCAACUUGUUGAGAAUGCAGAUGAAUGCAUGGUUUUGGAUAACGAGGCUCUAUAUGACAUCUGUUUCCGUACUCUCAAGCUGGCUACUCCUACUUGUAAGUCCUCAUGCUGACUACUUAGGUUUGAUAUUUGACUUUAAUAUUAACUUUGUGGUAUGCAUUUUUAACCCAUAUUUAUGGUCUGGUGGCUAGGGGAUAGGGGUUAAUGCCCUUCGCUGAUCCCCUGACCAGUCAGGGUGGGAGGGAUUUGGGGUAAAAAAGGGGGGGGGGGAGGGGCCAGAAAAAAGCCCAGGUUUAUGGUAAAACAGCUUGGGCUUGAAAUUCCUAAAGAUUUUAUGGUUUUUGGUUUUUCCCUUUUUUUUCAAUAAUUAAUGGGUAGAGGUUAAAUGUGGUAAUAAGUUUUACUGUAGUAUUGGUCACUUAUUAGCCACUCCAUGUGCUUGGUUGGUGGUGGUUGUUCUUUGGCGUUUUCUUUUCGGCCACAGUUUACAUUCUUAACGUGCCUCUCUUCAUUUGGUUGAUUAACUUCAGUUUUUCAAUGCAUACACAUGCUCUGUCUCCAUCUCCCUCUCUUUCCCUCUCUCUCACACACACACACAAAACAAAAACAUCAAGGACAUAGGUUUAACUGAUGUUCUAGAAAUAUGGGAUGUUUUGGUUGUUAGUUUGCUUCUUGUAUUUGCCUGAGACUAGUUUAUAUGAAAGCUUUUGACAUGGAUCAAAAUUUGAACCGGGAACACUUGCUAAAUUGUGCUUGUUUUUGGCUGUACUUCAGUUGGUGAUCUCAACCACCUCAUUUCUGCUACCAUGAGUGGUGUCACAUGUUGUCUUCGCUUCCCUGGACAGUUGAACUCUGACCUGCGUAAACUUGCCGUUAACCUUAUCCCAUUCCCACGACUCCAUUUCUUCAUGGUGGGCUUUGCACCUUUAACAUCCAGGGGUUCCCAGCAAUACCGUGCUCUCACUGUCCCUGAGCUGACACAGCAGAUGUGGGAUGCAAAAAACAUGAUGUGUGCUGCUGACCCACGUCAUGGUCGGUACUUAACUGCUUCAGCCAUGUUCCGUGGCAAGAUGAGUACCAAAGAGGUUGACGAACAGAUGAUCAAUGUCCAGAAUAAGAAUUCAUCUUACUUCGUUGAAUGGAUUCCCAACAAUGUCAAGUCCAGCGUAUGCGAUAUCCCACCCAAGGGUCUGAAAAUGGCAUCUACUUUCAUUGGCAAUUCAACUUCCAUCCAGGAAAUGUUCAGGCGUGUAAGUGAGCAAUUCACAGCUAUGUUUAGGCGCAAGGCUUUCUUGCACUGGUAUACUGGUGAAGGAAUGGAUGAAAUGGAGUUUACCGAGGCUGAGAGCAACAUGAAUGAUCUGGUAGCUGAAUACCAGCAAUACCAGGAUGCCACUGCUGAUGAUGAGGAAUAUGAAGAGGAGGAAGAAGAAGUAGGAGCAACAGCAUGAGGCAUCUUUCACAUUUCAUCAGUUUGCUGGAGGGUUAUGGUCUGUUU